rnacentral:tRNA from 1 species
GCCGGGAUAGCUCAGAUGGUUAGAGCGGCGGAAUCAUAAUCCGUAGGUCGUGGGUUCGAUCCCCUCUCCCGGUA